rnacentral:tRNA from 1 species
ACCUGGGUGGCUCAGUCGGUUAAGCACCUGGCUUUGGCUCAGGUCAUGAUCUCACCGUUUGUGAGUUCAAGUCCCACGUCAGGCU